UGACAGUGGUGAUGAUGAUGACGAUCACGUCUGUUCCCUGAAUUAGACAUGUGGGCAUUUCAGUCACUACCUCAUCUGAACUGGAA